GCCAGCGUAGCUCAGGGGUAGAGCAGCUGUUUCGUAAACAGCAGGUCACAGGUUCAAAUCCUGUCGUUGGCUCCA
rnacentral:tRNA from 1 species